rnacentral:rRNA from 1 species
UACGUAGGGGGCUAGCGUUGUUCGGAAUCACUGGGCGUAAAGGGCGCGUAGGCGGCUUUGUAAGUCGGGGGUGAAAGCCUGUGGCUCAACCACAGAAUUGCCUUCGAUACUGCAUGGCUUGAGACCGGAAGAGGUAAGUGGAACUGCGAGUGUAGAGGUGAAAUUCGUAGAUAUUCGCAAGAACACCAGUGGCGAAGGCGGCUUACUGGUCCGGUUCUGACGCUGAGGCGCGAAAGCUAGGGGAGCAAACGGG